CUGGAGAAGAGGUGUUUUGGCCCCUAGUCUUAGAUUCUCAGUUUGCUGGGGGAGUCUUCAGGCAGGAGCAGUUCUGUGCUGGUGUUCUCACAGGCACAAAUGGGAGAGAAUCCAGUGACUCUGCCCACACGGGGGCAGGAUUUUAACUUUUGCUUUCCUCAUUACAAGUAUUCACGUGCAAGUCUGGGCCUUCAGCAGAAAAUAGAAGGAACAGCCUAUAAGGGGCUCCUACUUCCUAGGACAGGUGCUAAUUGAAGCAUUCAGGCCUGCCAGCCCUUUGAGCUGUGUGUAGAUACCAAAGCAAUCUCUCGGGGAAAGAGUCUCAAGUGAAGCCUAUGAUUUUUCAAUAGUAGUCUCCCAAACAGUGGGAUGAUGUUGUGAUGGAUUGUGGGGUUCUGGGAAGCUGCCUGUUGAUGUAAAAAAACCAAAACCAAACAAACAAAAACUCCUGGCCCAUCUGUUGAAUCAUCUCAAACCCCUUUAUCAAGCUUGAUCUCCACAGGCUUUGUCCCUUCUCUUCAGGGGCUCUUCAAAGUAGAUGUCCAAACUCGGAGGUCUCAAGGUGUAACACAGAGUAAAUAAGCCAAGAGGUAAUAUGAAACAGAAGAAAUGGAUAACUCAGAGAAAGCAUAACCCAUGUGAUGUCGACAGCCUGUGGGAUGGCCCCCAGAUAAUACUGACUUCUGGUGUGGGAACCAUACCAUGUAGGGGAUUGAAAGAAGAAACAAGUCUGCUCAGAUUUUUACUUGCUUGGAUGGA
rnacentral:lncRNA from 1 species